UACGGAGGGUGCAAACGUUGCUCGGAAUCAUUGGGCGUAAAGCGCACGUAGGCGGCGGCGUAAGCGGGAUGUGAAAGCCCAGGGCUCAACCCUGGAAGUGCAUCCCGAACUGUGUCGCUUGAAUCUCGGAGGGGGACAGAGAAUUCCCGGUGUAGAGGUGAAAUUCGUAGAUAUCGGGGGGAAUACCAGUGGCGAAGGCGCUGUCUGGACGAAGAUUGACGCUGAGGUGCGAAAGCGUGGGGAGCAAACAGG
rnacentral:rRNA from 1 species